rnacentral:rRNA from 1 species
UAAAUAACCCCAGUAUACUAUCUGUGCAAAGGUAGCAUAAUCAAUUGUCUCAUAAUUGGAGUUUAGAAUGAAUGGAAGCAUGGGGUUAAACUGUCUCUUUAAAUAUGAAUGAAUUUACUACACAAGUGAAAAUUCUUGUAAAAACAUAAAAGACGAGAAGACCCUAGAAAUUUUAAUAAACGUUUUUGUUGGGGCGGCAGAAUAACAAUAACCUUAUUUUAUAAUAUUAGAAGGUUAUUAAAGAGACCUUAUAAAGUACUCUAGGGAUAACAGCAUAA